GACGAACGCUGGCGGCGUGCCUAAUACAUGCAAGUAGAACGCAGUUAGAACGGGUGAGUAACGCGUAGGUAACCUCAUCAUAGCGGGGAUAACUAUUGGAAACGAUAGCUAAACCGAUAUUGAUAUGGACCUGCGUUGUAUUAGCUAGUUGGUGAGGUAAAGGCUGACCAAGGCGACGAUCCAUAGCCGACCUGAUAGGGUGAUCGGCCACACUGGGACGGAGCCACGGCCCAGACUCCUACGGGAGGCAGCAGUAGGGAAUCUUCUGCAAUGGACGAAAGUCUGACCGAGCAACGCCGCGUGAGUGAAGAAGGUUUUCGGAUCGUAAAACUCUGUUGUUAGAGAAGCGGUAUCUAACCAGAAAGCCACGGCUAACUACGUGCCAGCAGCCGCGGUAAUAC
rnacentral:rRNA from 1 species